AGUGAACGCUGGCGGUAGGCCUAACACAUGCCAGUCGAACGGCAGCACAGUAAGAGCUUGCUCUUACGGGUGGCGAGUGGCGGACGGGUGAGGAAUACAUCGGAAUCUACUUUUUCGUGGGGGAUAACGUAGGGAAACUUACGCUAAUACCGCAUACGACCUACGGGUGAAAGCAGGGGAUCUUCGGACCUUGCGCGAUUGAAUGAGCCGAUGUCGGAUUAGCUAGUUGGCGGGGUAAAGGCCCACCAAGGCGACGAUCCGUAGCUGGUCUGAGAGGAUGAUACGCCACACUGGAACUGAGACACGGUCCAGACUCCUACGGGAGGCAGCAGUGGGGAAUAUUGGACAAUGGGCGCAAGCCUGAUCCAGCCAUACCGCGUGGGUGAAGAAGGCCUUCGGGUUGUAAAGCCCUUUUGUUGGGAAAGAAAAGCAGCAGGUUAAUACCCCGCUGUUCUGACGGUACCCAAAGAAUAAGCACCGGCUAACUUCGUG
rnacentral:rRNA from 1 species